UACGAAGGGGUGCAAGCGUUACUCGGAAUUACUGGGCGUAAAGCGUGCGCAGGUGGUUUGUUAAGUCUGCUGUGAAAGCCCCGGGCUCAACCUGGGAAUGGCAGUGGAGACUGGCAAGCUAGAGUGCGGGUAGAGGAUAGUGGAAUUCCCGGUGUAGCGGUGAAAUGCGUAGAGAUCGGGAGGAACACCAGUGGCGAAGGCGGCUAUCUGGACCAGCACUGACACUCAGGCACGAAAGCGUGGGGAGCAAACAGG
rnacentral:rRNA from 1 species